CGCCUGGCCCAGAGUGGGAUCUUAAAGCAGAGUCUGGCUCAAGAUUGAGACAAUUCCCAGCAGAAUGAAUGGAGCAGUAACACAGUCAGAAGGCCCUGAGGGAGGCAGGUGGCUCUCUCUGUUCCUGCCAGCACUCUCUCCCCCACUUCUGAUAACAGACCUGCCGUACCAUGGGAAGAUGGCCAAAAAUGGCCGCCCACGGUACUUGUUCCUCGGCUACAGUAAUUGGUCCAUGUGUAGGCAUGUGACCCAUCAUGACCAAUCAUAGCAGCCCACUUCUGAGCGGGGGCACAGCAAUUGUUCCAGGUGUAGUCAUGUGACUCAAGCAGGGCGAAUUCAGGAUUGUCUGCAGAGCUUGUGGGGAGGAUGUUUCUUUCUCUCCCUCCUCCUCUCUGGCAUCCAGGCCUUAAAGAGGUAGACUUGGCACUACCAGUGGCCUCAGACAAUAAGGCCAAUAAGCAGAGAGGAGGAGAAAUGAAACAUGAGGUGAGGGGGUUAGGACAGGAAGAGAACCCAGAGCUUCCAGUCCCUGGAUCCUAGAGAGCAAUACAGCCUCUUCCCUUUCCUCAUCGUAGCUACCCAGUGAAUAAAUCCCUCGUUCUACCUCAUUCAGAUCAACUUCAGUGCCUGUUGUUUGCAACCCACAGUGUCCCAAUUCAGGACUUGGGAACUGUUUUCCUUUUCAUGGAUUGUGUAGAACUGAAAGGGAUACGUCAUUCUCAGAACUUAUAUUCUUGUUCCGAUGUGCCAGCUGUACUUAAAAAUAAAAGAAUCCCAGACCCAUCUCCAUGUUCACCACCACCCCUCCUGUUAAUUUCCUGCUGAAUUGCAGCUCAACGCAUGUGCUGGGAUUUCAAGUCCUGCCCUAAUCAAUUUACUACCACCUCCCCAACCUUAACCCCAACCUACACGCACCUUCCUACGCUGGCCUGUGCGUGCAGCCUGCCCUGGCCUCUACUGUGACGCCUACCACGUUAUAUUUGUAAUGAUUUGUUUAUGACUGUCCCCAUACUAGGGAAGGCAUCGAGCUUGAGGAAGAGGCCCCAUUCAUCUCCGUACCCCAGGCCCUGGUACACAGCAGGCAGCUCCAGGCGGGCACGCAUCUUUGUUGUGUUCUCUGCUGACUAUAUCCUCAGCACCUAGAACUGUGUCUGUCACCUAAUAGAUGCUCACAAGAAUGCGGUGUGUCAGGAGAAGCAAAUCCCAAAUGAGAUAAACCUGCCAGUAAUUUCAGCAAAUGAAACGUGGAACACGUCAAGGCCAGAGGAUGGAAAAGGCUCCAGUUUUGAUAAAAGGAGGCCUGCUUGGCUUGGAAUCCUCUCUCCUGCUGGUUGGGAGAUGCAAAGAUGUUUCCAGAGAGGGGCUGAUGAAUUGAGGGGAAAGAAAUGAGCCCAGUAUGAGUCCCCUUUCAGGGCUGAGCGUGUAUAAAACCAAACAACUUGGAACCGCUCCAAGAGAGGGGAUUAAAGCAACAUGUUAUUCUGAGUGAUUGCUUAAUUUAUUGAGCUGCGGCUGGAUCUGUAAUGAAAUACAGCCCUUGUAACUGAUAACCUCCUGCUGCCAUUGAACUUCUACAAUUAAGGAAUAUUUUCUGAGUUUCUCUGGAACGGCUCUGAAUUUUUAGCCUCUGUGGUAGGGUGCUUCUGAACAUUUGUUUUCCAGGCAAUUUUUUUUGAGUAUUAGGCUGAUGUUAAUAAAUAAGCAGCAUUUUAUUGAGUG
rnacentral:lncRNA from 1 species